rnacentral:lncRNA from 1 species
CUGGCAUCUUGAAUUUAGGGCCCUUCAGUUUCGCAUCUGGACCUUCAAUAUUCACAUCUGGAACAUCAACGUCCACCUUGGGUCCUGAGACGUCAAGGUCAGCCUUGGGCAGAUUCACAUCCACUUCAGGGCCCUCUGCUUUGAAGCCAGGCAUACUGAACUUGGGCAUUUUCAUCUUGGGCAUUUUCAGGUGCCAAUCUG